rnacentral:rRNA from 1 species
GUUGGUCUUACGAGAAUGGAGAGCUGCUACUGAUCUACGAGUACAUGCCCAAUGGCAGCGUAGACAAGCACCUGUUCCACGAAAAGCAGCAGCACCGUGGCCACCAACAGCCAGUUCUGCCCUGGGGGAGACGCUACGACAUUGUGAAGGACGUCGCCGCUGGUUUGCACUAUGUCCACCACGAGUACGAGCGCACGGUGCUCCACCGCGACAUCAAGGCCAGCAACAUCAUGCUCGACCCGGCCUUCCGCGGCCGCCUCGGCGACUUCGGCCUCGCGCGGGUCGUCGGCUUAGACAAGAACUCCUUCACCGACAUCGGCGUCGCGGGCACCUGGGGCUUCAUCGCGCCGGAGUACCCCGUCAGCCACAAGGCCACCCGGCAGACCGACGUCUACGCGUUCGGGGUGCUGGUCCUCGAGGUCGUCACCGGCAGGAGGUCCCUCGGCAAAGCGGACGACGAGUUCCCGCUGCUGGUCGAUUGGGUUUGGUGGCUCCAUCAAGAGGGGAGGCUGCUGGACGCGGGGUUGGACGCCGACGAUGCCGCCCGGCUGCUGCUCCUUGGCCUGUCAUGCAGCAACCCGAACCCAUCGGACCGGCCGACCCUGGCCAACGUGCUGCAGGUUGUCGCGAAGACGGCGCCGCUGCCGGACGUGCCGCUGGUGAAGCCCGCGUUUGUGUGGCCGCCGGAGGGGGCGUUACUGGACGACGACGUUGAUGAUGGUUUUGCGGGGACGAGCCGUGAUGAUUCUCGGUACUGGGAGGAGGAGACCAUGCCGAGCUUCAUGUCGUCGGAGAUCACCAAGCGCAGCCACUCCGCAGAUUCUGGGAGGCGAUGGAUUGCCGAACAGGGCCUUAAAUACGUAUAA